GAAGCGUUAACUGUCAUGCGGUUACAUUGUUGGUGAAAUGAGUUGUAAGUUAUGCACCCAAAGGUGAUCAUUACAAGGAAUCACAAAAAUGAUAAUAUUUCAGUCAAAGGGUGUGACUAUUGUCUAGAGCCACACAAGGGGUGAUAUCAAGUGGUCAAUAAACUGGAAUGGGAAGUGAGUAUUAUCAGUCAUCUAUGCAGAGCUAUUUAAGGGGAAAUGUCUGGGACAUCCAAAGUUGUGCUUGCUCUCCACUCUAUCAAAUAAUAUGACAC